rnacentral:rRNA from 1 species
CAGUAGCCGCGGUAAUACGAAGGGGGCUAGCGUUGUUCGGAAUCACUGGGCGUAAAGGGUGCGUAGGCGGAUUCUUAAGUCAGGGGUGAAAUCCCGAGGCUCAACCUCGGAACUGCCUUUGAUACUGGGGAUCUUGAGUCCGGAAGAGGUGAGUGGAACUGCGAGUGUAGAGGUGAAAUUCGUAGAUAUUCGCAAGAACACCAGUGGCGAAGGCGGCUCACUGGUCCGGAACUGACGCUGAGGCACGAAAGCGUGGGGAGCAAACAAGAUUAGAUACCCGCGUAGUCCCUGUCUCUUAUAC